rnacentral:rRNA from 1 species
CCAGACUCCUACGGGAGGCAGCAGUGAGGAAUAUUGGUCAAUGGCCGGAAGGCUGAACCAGCCAAGCCGCGUGAAGGACGAAGGUGCCAAGCAUUGUAAACUUCUUUUGUCAAGGGACAAAAUCAGGCUCGAGAGCCUGACCGAGGGUACUUGAAGAAAAAGCAUCGGCUAACUCCGUGCCAGCAGCCGCGGUAAUACGGAGGAUGCGAGCGUUAUCCGGAUUUAUUGGGUUGAAAGGGUGCGUGGGCGGAGUGUAAGGACGGGGGAAAAACCCGGGGGCUAAACCGGGGCGAGCUGUGGAAACUGGCUGUCUGGAGAUGUCGAGAGGUAUGCGGAAUGCGCAGUGUAGCGGUGAAAUGCUUAGAUAUUGCGCAGAACUCCGAUUGCGAAGGCAGCAUACCGGCGGCGAACUGACGCUGAGGCACGAAAGCGUGGGUAUCGAACAGGAUUAGAUACCCCAGUA